rnacentral:rRNA from 1 species
UCGGCGACCGGCGCACGGGUGAGUAACACGUAUGCAACCUGCCCUCUUCAGGGGGACAACCUUCCGAAAGGGAGGCUAAUCCCGCGUAUAUCGGUUUCGGGCAUCCGAGAUCGAGGAAAGAUUCAUCGGAAGAGGAUGGGCAUGCGGCGCAUUAGCUAGACGGCGGGGUAACGGCCCACCGUGGCGACGAUGCGUAGGGGUUCUGAGAGGAAGGUCCCCCACACUGGUACUGAGACACGGCCCAGACUCCUACGGAAGGCAGCAG